GGGUGCGAUCAUACCAGCGUUAACGCACCGGAUCCCAUCAGAACUCCGCAGUUAAGCGCGCUUGGGCUAGAGCAGUACUGGGAUGGGUGACCUCCCGAGAAGUCCUAGCGUUGCACCCU
rfam:Picea glauca, whole genome shotgun sequence.